rnacentral:rRNA from 1 species
UACGUAGGGGGCAAGCGUUAUCCGGAAUUACUGGGUGUAAAGGGUGCGUAGGUGGCAUGAUAAGUCAGAAGUGAAAGCCCGGGGCUUAACCCCGGGACUGCUUUUGAAACUGUAAUGCUAGAGUGCAGGAGAGGUAAGCGGAAUUCCUAGUGUAGCGGUGAAAUGCGUAGAUAUUAGGAGGAACACCAGUGGCGAAGGCGGCUUACUGGACUGUCACUGACACUGAGGCACGAAAGCGUGGGGAGCAAACAGG